CAGAGCUGAACGCCAAAUUCUUCGUCAAGUCGUAUUCUACUCGCACAUGGACUUUCGUGUCAUCCUUUACCUCCACAUUAUUUUACAGCUGCUACACCUCAGCUGCCGCGCUCCAAGCAUGCCAGGGGAGAAAACUCCGCCGAUCUAGGAAACUCGAUAUUCCAAUCAAGGAAGUGGAUGAAGAGAUAUCUAGCAGUCUCACGGAAGCGGAAGACAAACAAGAUACUUCGGAGAAACUGUUUUUCACCGUAUGGAGCACCAGCAGUACUACUGUCACUGUCACCACCUUCUC